AAAUCAUGCCAUUAUUGCCUAAAUCGACCGAAAAUGAAGUUGUAAUAUACUAUUUCAUAGGAAGUACAGUAGCCGGUAUAAGAGAAUAAUAUUGAACGAUGUCUUUAUCAAUAGAUAAGUUACAUAACCUUUUUUACGGCGUAUACGUAUGAAUAUUGGCGUAUUUGUUUGUCUAGAAGUAGAGCUAUAUUGAGAACACUUUGUUCGUCUG
rnacentral:lncRNA from 1 species